rnacentral:rRNA from 1 species
AACGAACGCUGGCGGCAGGCCUAACACAUGCAAGUCGAACGCCCUAGCAAUAGGGAGUGGCGCACGGGUGCGUAACGCGUGGGAAUAUGCCCUUCACUGCGGAAUAACGUUUGGAAACGAACGCUAAUACCGCAUAAUGACUCCGGUCCAAAGAUUUAUCGGUGAAGGAUUAGCCCGCGUUAGAUUAGCUAGUUGGUGAGGUAAUGGCUCACCAAGGCGACGAUCUAUAGCUGGUCUGAGAGGAUGAUCAGCCACACUGGGACUGAGACACGGCCCAGACUCCUACGGGAGGCAGCAGUGAGGAAUAUUGGACAAUGGGCGCAAGCCUGAUCCAGCCAUGCCGCGUGAGUGAAGAAGGCCUCGGUUGUAAGACUCUUUCAGAUGUGAAGAUAAUGACGGUAGCAUCAGAAGAAG